CUGUCCAGCAGUUGUUGCGGUCCCCAAAGCACCGAUGCUUUGGACCUGGGCUACCCCUUGCCGAUGUACGACAGUAGCAGCGGUGGCGCUGGCGGCGGCAGCAGUAGCGGCGGCGGAUGUAGCGUCCCGCGCGCCGCCGCUGCAGCCAAAACCAUGUAUAGCCCGGGGCGUAACAACCCUCCCACAGUGUUAGCAAUUACCGCGACCGUGCAGGCAGCGCUAGGCCGUCGCUACCACGCAGGCGUGGAUUGGCACCGGCAUACCGAGGACAGCAGCAGCAUGGAUGCCAGCAGCGACAGCCGGAGCAGGAGCAGCGCAUGUUUUAGCAACACUGGUGGCAAUACCAACAGCAGAAGCAGCACCAUGGUGCGGGUGGUGUGCCCCAAGGGGCCAGAUCUGAACAUCACCCUGCUCCCAAGCCCGCGAACACAAAGCCCCCCGGGUCCCGUGUUCCCCGUCCCGAUGAUCAUCACAGAGCAGGACCUUCCGGAACCUGCCUGGUCCACGAUGCAUGCCCACGGGAAUGCCUGCAACGGUAGCAGCGAAACGCACCCUAGCAGCAGCAGCGGCGGCGGUGAUCUGGCCAUCGGCUGCACCAGCGCCGUUAGCGGUGUUAUGGUCAGCAGCCGUGCGCCAGUGCGCGCGGUUGAGGAGAACGUCGGUGAGAAAGCGGACAAGGCGGUUCCGCAGGUGGAGCGCGG
rnacentral:lncRNA from 1 species